GCUCGAUCACGUCGUGCAUUGUCUGUGUGGUUGCAACUAACGGACAUUUUGAUUUUGGCGUGGCAUGCAAGAAGACAUUGUCGUUGCUUUGAAAGGCUAGUGUACGGGUUGUAGGUGAAGACAUCAACCAACUGUCAAGUUUGUACAGCUGUGUUUGCCGGUUGGGGCAUGCGUCUACUUCUGGCGUGAAGCAAACAGCCACCAAAAUACAGGUAGGAGUUCAUCUGGCUGGCCAUCUUAGCGCUACACAUGAAGGACUAGUGGACGUCUAGUAUCAAUGCUACAGUACAGCAACUGCGCACAUUCGCGGCCAUGUCAACAUCUAACUUGAACUUCGGCGGAUCUGUUGGCAGCUUCCUGAUCCCCAAGGUUGCGGGAUCGAUCCCAGCAGAGGACGCCAGCAACUCGGUGGCAGUGUACAAGUUGCUCAGACACGCAGUCUUCUGCGAGGGACUUUCAAAUCGGUGCACCGUGUGCUGAGAUAUCGUCCCCCACGAGAUGGCCCUCAGGCAUCGGACUGACCAAGGAAUCCUGGCGGGGCUGACACUGUCCGGAAGUCGUGGUACACCGAAAGGAAGUGCGAGACGUAAGCAGGAACUCGGGUUCGGCGUCAAACGCGCGCCUUCAGGAUCUUUUAUCGUACGCAUCAUCCACCCCAUCGGACCGAAGUCUUUCUUUAUCUGCUGGGAAAUGCACGUUGAGCCUUCAUGAUCAGUAUGGGUCUGCUAAGCACACCACACACAGGCACACGCACGCACACAGAGUGUCCAAGCAAACGUGCACCGGGAUAUAGAAAAAAACACGGUGCGUCAGAAGCGAAUGAAAACUGCAGAAUAAAUGUGAGGAGUCGCGUGGGCUAAUCGCCAGUAUUCAUUGUGUAUGAUUAAUUAAUUAGGCGCAACUAAUUAGCUAAAUUUUUAAUUAUUAUUCUUACGACCAAGAUAUGAAUUGGAAAGUUGUAGAGCGUGUCGAGAAACAACCAUCGCAUUCCUAGAGCGUACCUUUGCGUAGACCUUUUUUUUUUUUUUUUUUUUCUGGUAAGAAAGAACGCGCGCAAAAUCGGAAAGUGUAGCACGUGAGACGGAGGCGUGCACCUCGAUUUCACAGCUCCCAAGCGCACAGAAGAACCACUACAUCCGUUUUCUGUCGGGAGGCGACCUUCAGAUGAGCACUCACCUGAAGGUCGCUCCUCGGCAGAUAACGAAUGAAGAUAACUGAUGGCAGAUAACUCGGCAGAUAACCUAAACGCCUUGAAUAUUCCUUGGACGCUCUGAGGCAAAUGGCACAAUUCCUUCUCGGUCACAGAAUAUCACAGCCUUGCAACCGAGGGCCCAGAAUCCUGUAACUUUCCCACAAAUGAAACAGCGCACUUAAAAGCGCACCAAACUGCGCGCUUUUUCCUUCUUGUGAUUAUCAUGCCCCGUAAAAUAUUAAUGUUAAUAAUUGGGGGGUUUACGUCGCGAGACAACUGAGAUCAUAAGCGACGCCACAGCGGUCGGUCUGUGGAUUGCUUUUGCCCACCUGAGGGUUCUUUAACGUGCGAUGAAAGCUCAAAGCCCGUAUUUAACGUCCCUCGCGGAAGACUGCGUGGAUAAGCAACUUGUACCCUGCCACCAAGUUGCUGGCGUCCUCGGCCGGGUUCGAACCCGCGAUAUCGGGAUCAGAAGGCGAACACGCUACCGACUGAGCCACCGAGGCCGGUGCCCCGUAAAAGAAUGUAGCUCAUAAUACACAAACAUGCGACUGGUUUAACUCUAAGGAGCGUGUUUACCAAGAGACGAUGCUAUUGGAGAAGUACUGAGCGGCCUUUUCCCUUCUUCCCGUCGUCACUCGUCUACGUCCCCAACUUUCAACGUAUAUGGCAACGCCGCAUCUCAUGCACUCCAAAGUAGGGAUGUUUCGUUAUGGCGAGCCUCAGCGCGAGAAUGCACCCAUCGUUAGUACACCGCAGUGGUCCUGCCAGAACGCACAUGGUAUUAUGGAAAUGGCAAUGUCGGAUAUCCAACCCACUUCGAGGAGUUAUACAGCGCUGAAAAUAAAGUACGUAAAGUAAACAGAAAUUGAACAUUGCGGAC